ensembl:lncRNA
CUCUGGGUCCACCUGCUGGUGCAGCGUUUCUACAGCUUCUCUCUCGCUGAGCCUUCGCUCUGCGAGGCUGCGGCUCCCAGCAGCAUGGGGAUGAGCAACAGCGUGCCCAGGCGCAAAGUCUAGCAUGGGUGCCCCGAGAGAUGCAGGGCACCGCAGGGCUGAGGCAGAGGAUUUCUGUGGUUCGGAGACUGAAUGCAGCGUUGACACCGUGGCUCUCAGGGGUCUGCACCUCACCCUUAUGGCCGGGACAGAGGACAGACGCCUGCUGGAGGCCGUGAUCCUGCAGGGGCCUUCUUGCCGGGCCUCCUUCCUCCCCCUUUCUCACACUCCUCCUUCCAGGACCGUGUCGGCAGAAGAAAGGUCGCCUCAGCAGGAUUCUUUGUUAGUGUGUCCGUCAACUCGCGUUCACCCUGCUCCUUUCGAGGUCAGAGGCUUGCAGCUUUGCGAGCAGCCCUCUCCAUCACUGGACAGCUCUCGCAGGGAAAGAGCACGUCCUCACGCUGAGCCAGGGUCUGCCACCUGGGGCCUUCCUCCCAGGGCUUCUGGAGCAUGUCACAUGAAGUCCCACCCCUCCUCCACAGGAGAGCGCUUCAAGUGUCUGAAGACUGUAAUUUCAUCUUCUCUGAGUGUCCUGUUAUUCAGAACAAGCAUUUCAAAGGCUCUCAACUAUUCUUCAAAUUACACGGUUGCUGCACCGUCACUUUCUGCUUGCUCUCUACCAGAGGCUCCCCAGCCUGUCCAAGUGCUGAGUGUGUACUCUUGACGAACGCUGAGCAGAGGACCUGAGGAUUAUAGUCUUCCUUAAUUGACAUUACCCCUAGCAACGCAGUCUGGUCUUUGAAAGUUUUAUGAGAACCUUGCCAUUUUACUAGCUCAAAAUGGACUUGUGGUCAGCUAACCCCAUGCCACUCCCCAAACUCAGGGUCUUAUAUUGUCAGCUUAUUUGAGCCAGAGUAUGGGACCUUCUAUGUGCAUGGUUAAGUAGGAAGAGACUGCUUCUCAGGGAAAGUAGGCAUUUCCUCUAAGAUCCCACAACUAGUAACUGAGGUUUUAGCAUAUCAUGCCUUGACAGCACAUCAAAGUCUUUUUCAAUCUUGACUCUAUCAUCCAAGAAAUUAGCAGAAUCAAAACAAAACAAAACAAAAAUAAAAAGAGCGCUUCAAUGAUUCAGGCAUUGUAUAAGUGCUUUUUGUAAAUUAACAACUUUAUGAGGUAGCACCUAUGACCAUGUCCAUUUUAGGGUUGAAGGAGCUGAGACACAGAGAAAUUAAUAACUUGCCUAAGGUCACAGAGGUGAUAAUGGCAGAGCUGGAUUCACACGCAGGCAGUCCGGCUUCAGAAGAGGUGGGCUUAACCACGAUGCCUCUCAGACCAACCUUCCCAAUUUUCUGUCUUCUGUAGAUUUAUAAAAAUGUCUUUGAUUUUAAGAAUAUGGUCGUUUAUUUAUUUUCUCAGCACUUGCUGACCCCAGCCCUUAUGCUCGGCACUGAAUACACACGUACAGGACAGACGAGGGGAACGUCAGGCACAGGAUGAUGUUAGUCGUAAGUGACAGAAACCUGGCUCAAACUAGACUAAGUUAAAAGGAUUUAUUGGCUGAUAUAUCCAGAGUAUCAGAGGAGUAGAUCUUGGUUUAGAGACAACGGGAUCUAGAGGCAAAGAUGCGGUGGCUUGGCGAUGGGUGGGUUUGUUACCAGGAGAAGAUGAAGGAGAGCCUGCCAGGCAGAGGGAACCAAGAGCAUUACUGCAGAGGGCCGUGUGUGGCUACGAGCAACAGGGGCCUGUCCUGGCUGCCUCGAAGAUGCAGGAAAUCUCUUAGAAGGUGUGGGCUGGCUUUCAAAGUCGUAAAAUCAGCUCACCAGGAACAAGCACUAGGGCAGCUCGAGUGAGCCAAGGGGCGUGAGGUGCUCACACCAGCACCUUCCCUAGAAUGGAGCAGUGCCGAUUCUCUUUCCUCACGUCUCUCCGCUCAAGGUUAAUGAGACACAUUUGCAAACCAAUUAGAAGGGGUACAAUUUAAAAGACUGGCCAUACCGAGUGCUGAUGAGCAUGUGGAGGAGUAGGAGCCCUCAGAUACUGUUGGUGGGACUGUAAAACUGCACAGCCCCUUUGCAAAACAGUUCGGUUGUUUCUUAAAACGUUAAAUCUGCAUUUGUCAUCUGACCCAAUGAUUUUACCCCUAGAUAUUUACCCGAGAGAAAUGGAAGCAUGUGCAUAUACUAAGACUGGACAUGAAUGUUCAUAGCACUUUGCUUAUAAUAGUCCCAAACUGGAAACAACCCAAAUGCCCAUCAAAAGGCAAAUGGAUAAACAAACUGGUGUAUCCACACAAUGGAAUACUACUCAGCAGUAAAAAGGAAUGAACUGUUGAUGCACACAAUGGCAUUAUAUAAAAUUCUAAAAAAUGCAAACUAAUCUGUAGUGACAGAAAGGAGAUUAGUGGUCUUCCAGGGAGAGCAGCUAGAAGAAGAAAUUACAAAGGAAAACAAGAAAACUUUUUGGGGUGAUGGAUAUGUUUAUUAUCUUGAUUGUGGUGAUGGUUUCAUGGGUAUAUACAUAUGUCUAAAUGUAUCAAAGUGUACGUUUUAAAUAUGUACAGUUUGUCAUAUGUCAAUUAUACCUCAAAAAAGCUGUUAAAAAUGUUCUCUACAAAGUCUCAACUAAAGAUUUGGAAAAGAGUGGCUGGCCCCGUGGCAGAGUGGUUAAGUUCACACACUCCACUUCAGUGGCCCGGGGUUCACAGGUUUGGAUCCUGAGUACAGACCUAUACACAGCUCAUCAAGCCAUGCUGUGGCUGCAUCCCACAUAAAAGAACUAGAAUGACUUGCAAGUAGGAUUUGCAAAUAUGUACUGGGGCUUUGGGGAGAAAAAAAAGAUUUGGAAAAGAGGUGAUAAUGCUACUCCUCUCCCAAUCACUCCUGUCAGAGAAAUUAUUAAAUGUGUGCUAAUUUCUUAAUGUGUGUUUUCUAAGUUCAUCGUUGGAGGUGUUGGCUCUGGUGGAAGUGAAAUUUCUUGGGGAAUACAGCAUUUACUUAAUGAUUUCAUACAGCCCAGCACAUUUCUACACGGGAAACUAGUGAAUCAAUAAAUCAGAUUUUUUAUGUUUGUAGGAACAUCAGAAAUCAUCUAGUUCAACUUGACAUUUAGUAAGUGAAAAAAUGAGAAUCAGUGAAAUAAUUUGCCUGCAG